UGAAAAAGAAAAUAAAAAAAGGAGAACCAAUACCAUAUUGCCACAUGGAAAAUUUCAUCCCUGCCCAUAUGGCAUAUUCCAUUUUAUGAAAUAAGAAUAUCCUAGUAUUAGAAGGACCUUUCAGAAAAAAUAACAAAAAUUAGACACUCUAUAAAAAGGAAACUAUACCUAAUUUUCUAACCUAGACUACACAUCAUUAUCCACCUAAUAGACCUAGACACACAAUGAUAAUCAGUCGCAAUACAGAUGUUAUAUCCCGUAAAAUAAGAAGAAGAGAUCAACGAUUAGAGGGGAAGAACUAAGAACAGCAGCGACAGACUGUUUCUUCUUAUUUAGGUGACAAUUUUUGUUUAUUUUCCCGAAAACUUCACUAACACCACCUUUUCUCUACCCAAAUUCUAACUCAAAACAAACCUGCCAAUAAACACAAUAAAAUGAUCAAAACAACAGUGUCAAAAGUGGGUCGAGGUUCCGCUGGUCGUGAAGCUCCGAUUCUGGUUCACUGAAGCAAAGUAACGAACUAUUUUGAGGUCCGUUUUAGAUUGGAUCAUGGUGACGUCUUGGCUUGGAUCAUGGUGAUGUCUAAAUGGGUUUAUGAUACCUUCAUAGAUCUUUAUCUAAUAUUCUCAAGAUAAAAUGUUUUGUUGGGUUUUUACGUUGGAUUGGAUUAUGGAGGAUUAUAAUAUGUUUUGAGUUUAAUGUUUGGGUGUAAUAAUUAUUGGAUCUUUGCUUGGAUAGAUAUACAAAUUCACUAUUUUUAAAUACUAGUUAAUGGCUUGCCGAUUAAUAUGUAAUUGUAAAUUCAAUCCUCUUUUAAAAGAAAGCUUCAGUUGAAUGAAUAUUUUAGAAAUUAA